UACGGGGGGGGCAAGCGUUGUUCGGAAUUACUGGGCGUAAAGGGCUCGUAGGUGGCCAACUAAGUCAGACGUGAAAUCCCUCGGCUUAACCGGGGAACUGCGUCUGAUACUGGAUGGCUUGGAUUCGGGAGAGGAAUGCGGAAUUCCAGGUGUAGCGGUGAAAUGCGCAGAUAUCAGGAGGAACACCUAUUGCGAAGGCAGCUCGCUGGGACGUAACUGACGCUGAGACGCGAAAGCGUGGGGAGCAAACAGG
rnacentral:rRNA from 1 species